rnacentral:rRNA from 1 species
GNCGAACGCUGCGGCGUGCUUAACACAUGCAAGUCGAACGAUGAACCCUUCGGUGGGGAUUAGUGGCGAACGGGUGAGUAACACGUGGGCAAUCUGCCCUUCACUCUGGGACAAGCCCUGGAAACGGGGUCUAAUACCGGAUAACACUCCCACUCUCCUGAGUGGGGGUUAAAAGCUCCGGCGGUGAAGGAUGAGCCCGCGGCCUAUCAGCUUGUUGGUGAGGUAAUGGCUCACCAAGGCGACGACGGGUAGCCGGCCUGAGAGGGCGACCGGCCACACUGGGACUGAGACACGGCCCAGACUCCUACGGGAGGCAGCAGUGGGGAAUAUUGCACAAUGGGCGAAAGCCUGAUGCAGCGACGCCGCGUGAGGGAUGACGGCCUUCGGGUUGUAAACCUCUUUCAGCAGGGAAGAAGCGAAAGUGACGGUACCUGCAGAAGAAGCGCCGGCUAACUACGUGCCAGCAGCCGCGGUAAUAC